CGAACGGGUGAGUAACACGUGGGUGAUCUGCCCUGCACUUCGGGAUAAGCCUGGGAAACUGGGUCUAAUACCGGAUAUGACCGAGGACUGCAUGGUUUUCGGUGGAAAGUUUUUCGGUGCAGGAUGAGCCCGCGGCCUAUCAGCUUGUUGGUGGGGUAAUGGCCUACCAAGGCGACGACGGGUAGCCGGCCUGAGAGGGCGACCGGCCACACUGGGACUGAGACACGGCCCAGACUCCUACGGGAGGCAGCAGUGGGGAAUAUUGCACAAUGGGCGAAAGCCUGAUGCAGCGACGCCGCGUGAGGGAUGACGGCCUUCGGGUUGUAAACCUCUUUCACCCAUGACGAAGCGCAAGUGACGGUAGUGGGAGAAGAAGCACCGGCCAACUACGUGCCAGCAGCCGCGGUAAUACGUAGGGUGCGAGCGUUGUCCGGAAUUACUGGGCGUAAAGAGCUCGUAGGCGGUUUGUCGCGUCGUCUGUGAAAUCCCGCAGCUCAACUGCGGGCUUGCAGGCGAUACGGGCAAACUUGAGUACUGCAGGGGAGACUGGAAUUCCUGGUGUAGCGGUGAAAUGCGCAGAUAUCAGGAGGAACACCGGUGGCGAAGGCGGGUCUCUGGGCAGUAACUGACGCUGAGGAGCGAAAGCGUGGGUAGCGAACAGGAUUAGAUACCCUGGUAGUCCACGCCGUAAACGGUGGGCGCUAGGUGUGGGUUUCCUUCCACG
rnacentral:rRNA from 1 species